UACGUAGGGGGCAAGCGUUGUCCGGAAUUAUUGGGCGUAAAGGGCGCGUAGGCGGUUGGAUAAGUCAGCUGUGAAAACCACGGGCUUAACUCGUGGCCUGCAGUUGAGACUGUCUGGCUUGAGUGUGGGAGAGGAGAGUGGAAUUCCUGGUGUAGCGGUGAAAUGCGUAGAUAUCAGGAGGAACACCGGUGGCGAAGGCGGCUCUCUGGACCACAACUGACGCUGAGGCGCGAAAGCUAGGGGAGCAAACAGG
rnacentral:rRNA from 1 species